rnacentral:rRNA from 1 species
ACUCAUGAGAGUUUGAUCCUGGCUCAGAACGAACGCUGGCGGCGUGCUUAACACAUGCAAGUCGAACGGGGUUAGUUGGCAGCACGGGUGUUUUAUCNNNNNNNNNNAAAGGAAUGAUAGGUUAUUGUGGAAAGAUGAAUUUUUCUUUUCUAUUUUUGGAUAUAUUGAGGGAAUAGGGAGAGUGGGGUGAAAGAUGAGACAGACGUGCUGUCAGCUAACUUAGUGGCGCACGGGUGAGUAACACGUAGUUAACCUACCCUAAAGAGGGGGACAACUGUGGGAAACCGCAGCUAAUACCGCAUAAGCUCACGAACUGGGAUGUUAGUGAGAAAAGGGGCAACAAACAUCGGUUCGGACCUCCAGAGGGCUUUACCCCUCCUUCAUCCUGUCCAUGGGUAGAUCACCUGGUUUCGGGUCUACUGACUGCAACUCAACG